UACGGGGGGGGCAAGCGUUGUUCGGAAUUACUGGGCGUAAAGGGCUCGUAGGUGGCCAACUAAGUCAGACGUGAAAUCCCUCGGCUUAACCGGGGAACUGCGUCUGAUACUGGAUGGCUUGAGUUUGGGAGAGGGACGCGGAAUUCCAGGUGUAGCGGUGAAAUGCGUAGAUAUCUGGAGGAACACCGGUGGCGAAGGCGGCGUCCUGGACCGGCAUUGACGCUGAGGCGCGAAAGCCAGGGGAGCAAACGGG
rnacentral:rRNA from 1 species